CCUGUUGUUGAUUUUUUACUUGCCAAUCAGAAGGUUGAUCACCCGAAUGAAAUUUAUCGUGGGAAAGGUCAAGCGUGCAGUCAAGAAUUUAAGGAUAAAAACAAGCCCGGCAAACACAGAGCACACGACCAUUGGCUUGAGUCAUGAACAUAUUCUAAUCUGCUAUGUGCGUCUGGAUGCUUCUCAGGUGGCAAACUAAAUCAAGUUUGAUGAGAUGUCUGAGCCAGGGCAGUACCCAAACCUCCGCUGGCAGCGCCCUGGUGCAGGA